CUUUCAGAAAGUUUACAUGUGAAUGGAAUAUCAACUUUGCUUUGUAGGUGGGCCAUUUAAAUGGCUUAAAAUAAUUAUACCAACACUACAGCAGCCCAUUUGACUAGUGUUGGUAUCUUGUAGGCAUCAUCUUACCAAGACAACUCCUAGAAAUCUACUAGUUCCCAAAAUAAACUGCAGUAGUCCUCCUUUAUCCACGGCUUCAUGUUCCAUGAUUUCAGUUACCCGUGGUAAACUUGGGUCCAAAAAUAUCAAAUGGAAAAUUCCAGAAAUAAAUAAUCCAUAAGUUUUAAACUAUAUGUCAUUCUUAGUAGCAAGAUGAAAUCCCACUAUGUCCUUCCUGAGUUGCGUAUCAGUCCUUUGCUCAGCAUCUCUUGCCUGUUAGUUAUCAGAUCGAUUGUCAUGGUAUCACAGUGCUUAAGUUCAAGUGACCAUUGUUUUACUUAAUAAUAGCCCCAAAGCACAAGAUUAGUGGUGCUGGCAAUUUGGAUAUGUUAAAGAGAAGCCGUGAACGUGAAUGUGUUAGUCGCUCAGUCGCGUCCAACUCUUUGUGACCCUAUGGACUGUAGCCUGCCAGCCUCCUCUGUCCAUAAAAUUCUCCAGGCAAGAAUACUGGAGUGAGUUGCCAUUUCCUUCUUUAGAGGAUCUUCCCAACCCAGGGAUUGAACUCAGGUCUCCUGCAUUGCAGGCAGAUGCUUUACUGUCUGUGCCACUAGGGAAGCCCAAGAAGCUAUACAGUGCUUUUUUUAAGUGAGGUGAAAGUUUUUAACUUAAUAAGGAAAAGAAUACAAAUCAUUUGCUGAGAUUGCUAAGAUCUACCAUUCUAAGAACAAAUCUUCUGUUCCCGAAAUUGUGAAGAAGGAAAAAGAAAUUCAUGCCAGUUUUACUGUCACACCUCAAACUACAAAAGUUACAGAGCAUGCUGUAGGUGCUGUAAGAGUUAAAAGUUCAAGCUGAAAAAUCUACCAAAAAAACAUGCUGAAAAUCUAUACUUUUUUUUAUGUCGUUGCUCUUUGGUGCUAAGAGGUUCUCAAGAAGGUGAGUACCUUACGUACCAUUUGUGCUGUAAUAUUUAAUUACAGUGAGUGUACAGAAGAUUAGCUGUCUCAAAGAUUCUUUUGAAAUCAGAUUGUACAUCAGAACUGCAUUGUGCCCUGCUAAGUAAGCAAAUUUAAGAAAGUGGAGAAGGUGAUGUCAAGACUUAUUGCAAAAUGAACAAAUAAAGGAGUAGGAUUUGGUUGGUGUUCAGCCUAUUAAAGCAUGGC
ensembl:lncRNA